UUUUUAAUGAACAAAAGAAAGGGAAAAAGUCCAAGGGAAAUAAUUAUAGUGGAUUCCGCAUUAAAUCCACAGGAAGCUUCAGAGCAGACCUGGGUUGAAUCUGACAAAAGGAAAUGCAUGUGCAAAGGUGCCUCCCAAGCCCAGUCGUGGUAGAAAGUGGCAUCAGAGAACCAAAAUGGGAAAUAACUUUGCUUUUUAAGCUCACUAUUUUAAGGGGGGAAAAAUCAUUCUUAAUUUUGGAAUCUGCUGAAACUUAAGUUGAUGCUAGUCCUAUUUCCUUAAUACAUAACCUUCCUCUCUUAUGAGAGCUUUUGAUGUGACUCAUCUUGCAGGUGAAUAGUGAAAAAUUAACUGCCUGUGUUUUUAUUAACAAUAGAAAGGUGUGCACUUCUAAACAAAAUGGAGGCUCAUGAGCAAAACAUGCGGAGCUGCCCUGGCAAUGAAGUGAAGAGACUUGUAACUUGGUGCCUGAGCCUGUGCUAAAUGAGGGAGGGAACGGAAGGAGUUCAUUUGGAAUCAGAAGACUAAGUGAUAUGUUGUCGGAGGGACUUUGGAAUCCAGUUUAAUGGAAAAAGGAGGCCCCUGAGUCUUCAGCGUCACAAACAAUGACUGUUCCUGGACUUGUGUGACCACACAUCCCAGGCACUUAAAAUUGGGAAAUUUGGGGGAAGCAAGAUGGCCAAAUAGAACAAUCCAGCAAUUCUUCCCAUGCAGUAAUACCAAAUUUAACAACUAUCCCCACAAGAAAGCAUCUUCAUAAGAUACAAAAAUCAGGAUCACCAGGCUUCAGUGAAAUUCAACAUUGUCAAUGGAUACCCAGCAGACCAGGAAAAGUGAUCCAGUAUGGUCAACUCUAAGACUUAUAUUUGCCUUUAAAAGGUAAAGGCAAAGAAGGAGGUGAUGGAGGAGGAGAAAGAGAAUGAGAGAAUGGGAGAAGGGAGGACGAGCUGCAGUUACAGCAGC
rnacentral:lncRNA from 1 species